AGUGAGCGCUGGCGGUAGGCCUAACACAUGCAAGUCGAACGGCAGCACAGUAAGAGCUUGCUCUUACGGGUGGCGAGUGGCGGACGGGUGAGGAAUACAUCGGAAUCUACUUUUUCGUGGGGGAUAACGUAGGGAAACUUACGCUAAUACCGCAUACGACCUACGGGUGAAAGCAGGGGAUCUUCGGACCUUGCGCGAUUGAAUGAGCCGAUGUCGGAUUAGCUAGUUGGCGGGGUAAAGGCCCACCAAGGCGACGAUCCGUAGCUGGUCUGAGAGGAUGAUCAGCCACACUGGAACUGAGACACGGUCCAGACUCCUACGGGAGGCAGCAGUGGGGAAUAUUAGACAAUGGGCGCAAGCCUGAUCCAGCCAUACCGCGUGGGUGAAGAAGGCCUUCGGGUUGUAAAGCCCUUUUGUUGGGAAAGAAAAGCAGCAGGUUAAUACCCCGCUGUUCUGACGGUACCCAAAGAAUAAGCACCGGCUAACUUCGUG
rnacentral:rRNA from 1 species